UCCUACGGGGCGCAGCAGUGGGGGAUAUUGCACAAUGGGGGGAACCCUGAUGCAGCGACGCCGCGUGGGCGAUGGAGUACUUCGGUAUGUAAAGCUCUAUCAGCAGGGAAGAAAAAAGACGGUACCUGACUAAGAAGCCCCGGCUAACUACGUGCCAGCAGCCGCGGUAAUACGUAGGGGGCAAGCGUUAUCCGGAUUUACUGGGUGUAAAGGGAGCGUAGACGGCAAUACAAGUCGGAAGUGAAAUACCCGGGUUCAACCUGGGAACUGCUUUGGAAACUGUAUGGCUGGAGUGCUGGAGAGGG
rnacentral:rRNA from 1 species